CGGAGGUGCUCUUGCCCCCAUCUCAAAUAAUAUAAUCUUAAAAAUAAGCAAGCAGUAGCAACAGCACUGCAACCUGGCUACCCACGAAUGGCAUUGUGUCUAUUUGAAAGGCUAGUUAAAGGGGUUGAAUUCUGUAUAGAGUCUUGAUGUUACCUGUUAGGAUUCAUCAGCAAUAAUUGUGUCUAAACAGAGCAUAUGUACAGGGAAAGUGAAUACAAAUCACCUCCAUUAGGGAAGGCUAGCCAUCAGACCUCAAGGUAAGGAGCAGAGCUGCUUUUAUGCUGAUUUCUCUUUUAUCUUUUUUUCUUUACUUUGAGGAAGGGAAAAUGAGAGAAAACCACAGCCAGUAAAUGUGGAACAGAAUAUGCAGUGACUGUUAGCUGUAAAAAAGCAACCAGCUCUUGUCCCAUGCUGUCAAAUGUGUAUAGUAUGUUUUACUGUUGUCAGUAUAAACAGCUACCUGGCCAAGUUCAUUAAAAAUAGGUUUAAAGCCUUACAUAAACCUUCUGUUUCUCACAUGCAAAAUCUUCAAUGAAUUUUAAAGAACGCUGCUGAAAUCUUGAUCAUUUCUUUGCAGGUGAACAGCUGUUGAAUGAUGGCUGCUGGAAGCACAGUAAAUGGCUUGGAUUAAGAACUGGCUAAAAAAUUACAAGUCAGCCAGAGGGUGGAAAUUUGUACCUCCCAAAAUGCUCUUCUCUUUGUGGACUGAAUUAUGUUGACAAGAGCCACUAAAAGCUUCAAUGCAGCGCAGUUAUUGCUUAGCUGUAAGUAAUUAAGUAAGAUGAAGUAAGUAACAUCAGGAAAUACUUUAGAACAGGAAGUGAAAUAGUUAAUAUUUUAGAGGAAAUGGUUACUUCAAGUUUAAUGUACUUAGAGAGUUAGCUAAACUUUGAUUUCUUCAUUGUAAAAAAAUGCUCUAAAGUCUUUAAUAACUUCAAAGGUUGAGGGCUUCAGUUUUACAGUAGCAGAAUGCUGACUAUGCUUCUCAGGACGACUUCAAAAGCAAAAGCACAACUUGCUUUGAUCAGAGAAAGCUUAAUUAUAUUAUGGUUCUGGUGAAAUCUGCAUUGCCUUGAUAACUGCAACUGGCAAAUUUUACCCUUCCAUUCCUCCAUCAUGCUAUGCAAAAUAAUCACUUUCUACAUAUAACUCAGGAGUUAAUAAAUUCUCCUACAUUUCAUGGCCUUGCCUCUGAUUUCUGAUUAGAAGCUUAAGGUUUUCAGUAUAGUGGUGGAAAGGCUUCCCUUCCUGCACAUUCUGGCAGAAAACAGAAAAGAGCCCUUCUUAGGUUGCUGUGUACCUGGGUCAGCCACUUCAAAUUUUUGAAACCUGUAAAUUAUAGAAUGUAUUUUUGUUUCAUUUAAUACUGAACAACUAUGCUCAAGUCUACCAAGUCAUGCCAAUAUUCACCAAUAGACAAUGAAUUACAUCUAUAUGAGAAGGGAGAAACCGGAGCCUGCUGAGAACAACAGAGCAAAAGAUUGCUAUUACACAAUUUAAUGCCCCUUACUGGGAAUAAAUAUCUGCCAAGAGGCUGCCAGCUUUUAUAAUCCUUAAAAA